rnacentral:lncRNA from 1 species
CGUUGGGCAAAGAAACCGAAGCGAUUGGUGUGCUAGAAUCUAGUAUUGACAUGGAUGAUUGCUGGGAGGAUCCUAAUCAGAAGGGCUUGGAAGAAGAUUGGGACAGCUCUGAUGAAGACUAUAGUCCUUUUCUUCAUCUACGUGCCCCAGCUAUGACUGCCAACAUCAACCAACUCCUGGAGAUAAGCAUGGAUAAAGCCGUGCUUGAUGUGGCAACACCCAAUCCUCCAGGUGAGGACAUACAAGAAACUCCAGAACAACAAAAAGUUUCAGGACAACUUCAGAUUUGGAGAAUUUCCAAAACCACAUACUCAUGUAUGCAGGAAAGCGGUUUGCCUACAGCCCCCCUGUUUACAAAACCCAGACAUUGCUUGCAGCAAUCGAUUACAACUAUCACAACCACCGCAUUCCUGCACGUGGCAAGGAUGGACACCGAAUUACUUCAACAAGAAGUCCGAGCACUGGAAGGAGAGCAAAGGCUACCAUUACAUUCCAGACCUGCAGAAGGCCAUCCUUGCUGAGAGGCUGGGAAGUGGAAUGGGCCUUCCAAGAAUACAGGGUCUAAGGCCUGAUGAUCCCAGGCGCUUGGGUUUGCUUGCCGCAACGCAGCCUCCAUCCACAUUUGAACUUGUCGCGGCUCAGGUUUCACGGGGAGAGGGUGGUGCCCAAAGUGAAUUCUAAACUAUUCCAUUCUUUCAUAGCUGUGUAUGUAAAUAAUUUGCAAAUAAUUCAAGAGUCGUAAAAAGAAAUAUUUUUUUUAUUUAUAUGUAAAUAAAAAACAAUGAACAUCAAACUGUACA